ACGAACGCUGGCGGCGUGCUUAACACAUGCAAGUCGAACGAUGACCCGGAGCUUGCUCUGGUGAUUAGUGGCGAACGGGUGAGUAACACGUGAGUAACCUGCCCUUGACUCUGGGAUAAGCACUGGAAACGGUGUCUAAUACCGGAUACGAGCUUCAGCCGCAUGGCUAGGAGCUGGAAAGAAUUUUGGUCAAGGAUGGACUCGCGGCCUAUCAGCUAGUUGGUGAGGUAACGGCCCACCAAGGCGACGACGGGUAGCCG
rnacentral:rRNA from 1 species